rnacentral:rRNA from 1 species
UGGGUAACCUGCCUCAAAGAGGGGAAUAGCCUUCCGAAAGGAAGAUUAAUACCGCAUAAUAUGUUUUGGUCGCAUGAUCAGAAUAUCAAAGGAUUUUCUUCGGAAAUUCCGCUUUGAGAUGGGACCCGCGGCGCAUUAGCUAGUUGGUGAGGUAACGGCUCACCAAGGCGACGAUGCGUAGCCGACCUGAGAGGGUGAUCGGCCACAUUGGAACUGAGACACGGUCCAGAUCCCGUAACGGGG